UGCCUGUCUCCAUCUCAGCUGCGGCGAGGGAGGUGUGUGCUGUCUGCUCCAUCGCGCCGUGCGCCGCUUGCUGAUGCUGGGAGCCGGAAUAUGAUGCCAGCUACAGCAGACAGCCCGCGCGGCGCAAGGGAGCAGAGAGCACACAGCUCCCUCACCGCGGCUGAGAUGGAGACAGGCA